rnacentral:lncRNA from 1 species
CGAAGUUUCAUAUAACUGCAUCGUUUCUUUGAUAAGAAUUCCUAUCAUGCCAAAUGCUGAAAUGCGAUAUUUUAGUCCACAUGCCGUUAAGAACUUCUUGUGCCAACCGCCAACACUUAGAAUGUUAUUCAUGCAAAUCCCAUAAUCAGUAGCACAACUUUGCUGGCUUUUCAAUUUUUGAACUCGAUGAGUUGUAAACACAUUAUAACUAGCUGCACCAUCAGUUAAUAAUAUCAUACGGUCAUGACCAAUCCGUCCCUAAAACUUCAUCAUCAG